AUUGCUUCUCAGCUUUUUGGUUAAGAUCAAGUAUAGGAUCUGUUCUUAUCAGUUUAAUAUCUGAUACAUCCUCUCUCCCAGGAUGAUAUAUUAAAAGGAUUUUUGGAGCAGGGAGAUGGAACAGGAGCUUGCUCCAUCCACUCCAAGCAUGGACCUGGUAUUGCAGUACUUCAGGAAUAGUGCACCCCUC